GUGUGUGUGUGUGUGUGUGUAAGAGAGGCUUCUCUUUGUUAACCCGACCACGCCUCCGUGCACACAGACGGGUCCAUCAGGAGACGGUUCCGUGUGACAGAACAAGUCCGGCUGAGGCUUGGCCUCAUCCCAGUCUAACAAAAAGAGCUGCUGACUCCGAGCCAGCAGGAAUGGGACGUGACUAAUCGUCUUCUGCCUGAACUGAAGGAAUGGCUCCAAAUUCUGGUGGAAACACCUUAAAUCAGACCAACGAGCUGCAGCAGAUUCAUAACGUCCGUCUGCACCAACGGACCGGGAUGCUGUCGGAUCCGCACUAAAAGGACCUCUCCGGUUGCCACGUCUUCAUUCUCUGAGAAACGCCCUGUGGAGGAGAAGAGCAGUGCUCCCUGUAAUCCUGUUGUGUUCCGAUCAAAGCGCCUCACGGACGUUUCGUUUGGACCAGAGAGUCGUGUCAGCGUGCGAACGAGGCUUCUAUAAACAACAUUCAGAAACACGGCGUUCCAUACGCUCAGCUGAUUAGGAGUCCACCUUCCACCUUCUCCUCCUCAGGACAAACAGAUCUUCCUUCCGUACUUCACAUCCCAAAAAUCACUCUAAGCCAAAAAUCCUCUUCAUAACACCGGAAUGUUCCAACACCAGCUUCAACCCUUUUUUAUCUGAGAAAUCAAGAUCCUGUCAUGCUUCAUGAAAUCUGAUCAGAACCAAACAAUCUGUGACCGUCUAAGGGAGACUUCUUUUAUAUGUGUUUCUAUACAACCCUCCAGGGUUAGACCCAACACACCCUCCACAGCACAAACAGCUGGAAUCUUUAGUCCUGCGUGUUGCGUAACGUCCAGACGUUGGCCCUCAGCUGCACCACUCCAGAACCCAGAACUCCAGCUUCAGUCGUCCUCGUGUUGCCGUCUCUCUGGAGGACAGAGGACGAGCAGAAGAAUGUGAGACAUCUGGAUCUCCGUAGCGACAGACGGAGAUGCAUCAUCCAGCUGCUGCCAGUUCUGCUGGAAAACCACGAUCUGAUUUACAGGAGAACCCGAAUGUUGUGUAAUGCUCCCGAGGUCUUUUCCAUCCUCCUUCCAGUUCUUGGCUUCGUCUGGAGAAGCUAAUUAUCCCCAGGUUCAAAAUGGAAAGAGCUCAUCAGAGUUCAAACUUCUGAGCCAACGUGGAAAAUAUGUCCUAAUCUGCAGUUUCAUGAUGGAGGAGGAGAGGAGCAUCAGGUGGAGGCGUGAGCGAGGGGCGGGGUGGGGAGGUCCACGCAGAGGUGAUGUUGAGAAUUCAACGAAGUUCUCAAAGCUUCUGUGGUCAACUUUGUAUUCAUUAAGCAUCACACACACACACACACCAGUCUAAAUAACCCCAACCCAGCAGAGAUCCCUCCUUCACAGCUUCAUCUACAUCAAGUUUCUGGAUCUGUUGCAAAACUCUGUCAACUAAAACCAGAUCAGAAAACAGAGAAGCUGCUGCUGAAGAUUCACAGAUGAGAUCUGAACGGUGCAGCUGUUGCUGAAGUGCACAAACUCGUCCCGUUUAGUUGAUUUCUAAGAUCCUAAAACUGUUUUUAAAACCAGACAUUUGCUGCGUUUCUCUGCUGAUGAUUCAAUUCAGUUUAUUUCUAAAGCGCCAAAUCAGGACCAGAGUCGUCUCGAGGACCUUCACACAGUAAACACUCCAACACAGGUCAGGUCAAUAAGCCAAUCAGCAACAAGUUUCCUAUAUAAGGAACCCAGCAGGUUGCAUCGAGUCACUGACUAGUGUCAGAGUCUUUACAGCAAUCCUCAUACUAAGCAAGCAUGCAGCGACAGUGGAGAGGAAAACUCCCUUUUAACAGGAAGAAACCUGCAGAGGAUCCUGGCUCAGUAUAAGCAGCCAUCCUCCACGACUCACUGGGGAUGGAGAAGACAGACACACACACACACACACACACACACACACCGCUAGUAGUGUGUCUAUGGUUCCAAUGUGAUUUCUUAGUAAAUAUUCUAUUUGGCGAGAGAUAAACUUUGUUGUAUUUAUCCUAGUGAAUCUAUAAUUAAACGGGUAAACUAGUAGUAGCACAUUCAACGUCAAAGAGAGUAAAAUGUUAUUAUCAGGAGAGGGAGAAUGUUUAAGUGGUUAGCAGCAGUGUGCUAGCCGAUGGCCCCCUCCAUGAGGCCACCACAGCUCAGCAGAACAUCAUUGUAGCUUCUUCUGGGGAGAAAAACACUUAGAGACAAAAUAAAGUUAACAGCUGAAAUAGCAGGAAAUAAUACAGUUAAAGAGCAGACUGUAGAAGAAAGUAGUCGAGUGUGGAAAGUGGUCAGUGUGUCCUCCAGCAGUCUAAGCCUAUAGACUUGUAGAGCUACGAUAAUGAGGGAGUCAGACCUAAGAGACGCAGCUCCACCAUUCACGGACCACGGCUUAAAGAUUUAGAUGUAAAAGGGAAGAAUUUCAAAGUAAAAGUGGUUCACUUUACUGACCUCACUAAUGUCUUUGACUAAACGGAUCAUAGGAUGCUCUCACGUAGGCUCUCUAGCAUCGGUGUCGCCACCACUUACUUUUACUUGUUCAUCAGUUGUGGUUGAAACUACCUCCAGCAGCUAAAGACUGGCAACAUCUGGGAAACAUCACCUAUUCCCAAAGGUGUGCCUCAGGGCCCCCUGCUGGGGGCUACUUUAUUCUGUCUCCGCAUUAAUGACUUGAUCAAUGCAGCUGGUGCUUUUCAGAGCCAUUUGUAUACGGAUGACAUCAUCACAUACUCUGCAGCAUCUAGUUGACUCUUUCUAGGCAGAAAACUAAAAACAUCUCUUUGUAAAGUCCUGUUUCUACUCUGAAGAAACUCUGCCUGACCAGUAGGACUUGUCCUACCGUGGAUAACAGACCACCAACAGGAAACACUCGACUGGUCUCAGACAUGUUGACCUUCACACCGACCUGACGGGAGGCCACAACACUCGUGACCGCUCUGGCAUACAGCAGACAGCCUAAUGCUGGCUCCCGGGGCUCCAGCUGCCUGGGGACAGGAGGAAAUAAACCCCUGCUGUUCAGACAGCAUCUACAACGACUUUUCAUUCCGUAUGAAAGCUUUUCUGGAGCUUUCCUCAUCUGGAAAUCAAAGAAAUCCUAAAGCUGGACAGAAGGAAUGAGCGCAGAGGUUUUUAAGGAGAGAAAAUGGCCCCACAGCUAAAACCAGAUAGAUCUGUGUUCAGCACAUCUACAUUCACUUACAUAAUUUGUUAUCCUUUAACAGAGAAAAGGAGAUAAAAUCCAUCCUGAAUGAGGGAACAACCGGUUUCAGCUGUGAUGGCCCACUCCAUUCAUCCCUCACCUGCCUCUCAGUCUAUCCUUUGCAGGUUUGCGAGGAAGGAGGAGGAGGAAGGCAUUUAAUCAGCCUCCAGCAGCAGUGAGAUCCGCCUCGGCUGCAGCUGCACUGCUAAGUUAUCGGCUGUAUUACUAAUUAAAAUAAUUACAGCCAUAAGUGGCUUGGCAGCAGCACAGACUGUUCACUCAGGACAAUUAUCCCGAGUAAGCUCUUAACUUCUCCCAGAUAGAUCACGGUAAAUCCACCUUAGAGCUUUAGACUGGGCUUGACUUUUCUUCAUGCAGCCUCGACUCGUUUUAGACCGUUAUGAAAUCAGGAGCUUCCUCUGCAGAAGGACCAGUGAAAGCUACCGAUACAACCUUCAAUCGGUUUCCGCUGUGAUGAAAAAAUUAAACAAAUCUCAAUAUCCUUCACCUGGGCUCAAGCCAGAUAACAGAUCAAAUCUCAGGAGCUCAAGGAGGAGUCAACUUCAAAUUCAAAGAUACUCUAUUAAUCCCAGAGAGAAAUUAGAGUUUCCACACACAUAAUUCUGAGAUCAGACAUAUGUAACGUGAUGCAGGAGCUAUUCCACCGAAGGUUAUUUACCCUCCCUCCUCAGAUGUCUCUGUCACAGAACUAAUCUGCAUGAGAUAUUGCUCAAGGUCAUGCAUUUGCUUCUAAACUGUUCCCUUCCAGCUCAAGAGAAGAAUGACGACAAAGAACUCUAUUUUAAUAAAGCUAAUCAAACAAAGUGUUAGUCAAUAAUAAAAUGCGAACCAAUCUGUGAAAUGAAAAUAUUAAUUACUUGAUAUUAUAAUCCUAUAGAAUAUAAUAAGUAAUAUAACUUUAAAUGUUUCCACUAGAGAUUGAUUACACGUAAGGUUAAGCCACAUGACACGUUGCUUUUACUGAUCCAAUCAGAACCUUCCAGGUCUGAUGCGAGGCGUGGUUUUGAUGGUGCUUGGUAAAUCUGUCCCUUUUUGAUUCGACCGUAAAUCAAAACAUCCGAAGUAUGAAACUAUGCCCACGCCAUCUUUAACUUCAGUUCAAAGCGUUCUGGAGAAGUGUCGGAGUGGCCAAUCCGUAACUUCCCUCUUCAGCUGAAAAAAACAGCGAUAAGCUGGAUAAAAUCUGUUGCUGUUCCACCUGCUGCAACGGUUCCUUUCAGAAUAAAAGCUGAAUCAUCUACCCCUUUUUGGGCCUUGCUAGAUGCCAAUAAAACUUUCGUGACCUGGAAGUAUCUCAAAGACAGGACUGGUCGGCAGCCGCGGCUGGGCUACAGGCUUCGGCUCCAGAAAGGUCCAAGCUGGACCUCUACACCUCCUGAUCUAGACAGGGACUUCCGCCAAGGGAACGGCAUCUCAAUGUGUGUUAUAAAUCUUCAAGAACAGCUUAGCGCGAAACAUCAUCUUCACUCCCAACAGAACUUAUCGUUUCUCCGGAUUUGCUGGUUCUGAAAUAUUCACACAUACACCAUUCUCAGUCUUACUUCACCUUAGUUACACCAUACACCUAGUGUUGAAGUUAGUCUAGUUUUAAUUUGUUUAGUAAUAAAUCUUUAAACUUUUAAAACUUGACUCACUCUCAGUUCUUCAAGUUAAUACGAAGUGUUGCUCAAUCCCUGCAAUAAAAAGAUCCAAUAUUCUGAAUAAAUUUACUUAAAGAUCCAUUAAGGUGAUAUUUCACAUUUUAUGGUUUCUAAUUAAAUGUAGGAGUUUCUUCGCUACACAUACAUACAUAGACAUAGACACAUGACAAGAAUGGUGACUGUGGUCAUUCGCAACCCGAGUCGCGCUACCUUAAUAGAGAUCAGAGGGUUUACAUGAGGAUUGAGUCAGGUGGAGGAAAAAAAGGCACUUCAGAGUUACCCUCCACAGGGAGGGCAGCUUUGCUGUGCAAAAAAAAACACCUCAGACAGAAAUGCAACUGACUUCAGACAUCACACAACAUAAGUGUCCACUAGGUGGGGAGGUAGGGUUGGGGACUCUCCUCACAUCAGUGCAUGCAGCCGCGAUAAGCAGCGCUCGUCACCUCCGUUUGGACAGGGGAGGGAGGUAGUUGGGUUAGAAAGCACAGUGACUCCUGGAAACGGUUCCACGGCCUUCACCGGUCGCAGUCCCGCCCAGGCUGGGAUAGGGAGGCAGAGCUGUCAUGGCGACGGCAGCAUUCCACAUUUCUUCUGAGGGGGAGUAAUCACUUCAGCCUCACAGGCUCAGGGGCACCAGAUUCAGAUAAGAACUUGUUUUGGGGCCAGACAGAUAAUUUCCUCUCUGUCUUAAAGUUCUGUUGGUCUCAACCCCUCUCAAUCCAAUAAUGGAAUAAAUUAAUCUAUUCCCAACCGUGCUGUCCUGUCAACUCGCUCCUUGAUCAAAUCAACCUUCUGUGCCAGAGCCUGAAUCUCAGCCAAAGUUCCAAGCUUACGACUCAUCUCGACAAUUAUAUGAGUUUGUACGUUCACAGCGUGGUGUAAUCCAUCCCUGAGAUCCUGGAUUGAGCCAGUAUUCCUCGAAAGCUCAUUAAUUUUCCAGUAAGCCAGGUAACCGCUCAGGCCAAACAGCACAAAACCUGACACCAAACCCACGAAUAUCCAGACGUCUUCAGAAUCCUCUACAGACAGUUGAGAGAGGCAGAUCAGGUUCCACUGUUUCCAGGAGUCCAUGAUAUACCCAGCUGGCUCUGUCCCAGAGGGGCAACCGGGAGCCCCUUCUCCCGUUCUCAUCACUGAAAAAAUCUUGUCAGUCGCGUUGAGAGACCAACUGACCAGGUCCAUUUUUAAUAAUUUCCCGUUUCCAGAAAAAAUGCAGAGACUCCGUACACCCAAAGCCAGACAAAGAGCCGUGGGAUAAGAUAAGGAGGAGAGGAGGACAACUGAGGGUUCCUUCCACUGAAGUCCACUGGUUCGACUUGGUGUUUAGGUUUAUUUAUGUUUAUUUAUUUGGCAGACACUUUUAUCCAAAGCGACGUACAAUUUAUAACCUACAGGGCAUGUUGUGAUCUGUGGGGGAAACCGGAGUACCCGGAGGAAACCCACGCAUGCAUUGGGAGAACACGCAACUCCACACAGAAAGGCCGCAGCCGAGUUUCGAACCUGCAACCUUUGUGCUGUGAGGCAACAGUGCUAACCACUGCACCACCAUGCAGCCUCCAGCAUUGAUUGAUGAUUGAUGAAUCAUCUGUCUGUAAUAGGAGGAUCAGGAUGACUUAGAGAGACACAAAGAUUAAUAUAAGGCACGAUGUGGGUGGAAAACAGGGUUCUAUGAAACUGUGUUGAUGAGAAAAGAGAAAAUUUUAAAAACUUCAGAUGCAGACCCGUUUUAUCGUUAUUGCAGGACACGACGUAUGGUUUAAAAUCUUCAUAUUUAUGGGGGAGAAGUUCCAAAGAGCUGGAGGAGACGACGGCGGUCUAGGCUUCAAUGCGACCUCCACUCCGAUAAAGGCGACAAAACGGGACGGCAAAGCUAACCAGUUCUCCCAUAAGCCCCGCCUUUCCUUAUCAACAAACAAGACACUUUUCUGACUGAAAGUUAACUUCACAUAGGUGUAACCUGGCAGCUGUGUUUGUAAUAAAUGUAGCUAUAAUAAGCUGUUUGAUGCUUAAAGAGACUUUACGGAGGCGCGCAUGCUGUACGUGCACACUCCUUAACAAAAAUAACAGCUGAGACAGACCCGUGUGUGUGUGUGUGUGUGUGUGUGUGUGUGUGUGUGUGUGUGUGUGUGUG